UGCAGAUGUCACAAGGUGACGAUCUUUAGGGGCGGAACCAAAAUUCGGGAAGUUUGGUUCCGCCCGGAAGUGUUUCCGCCCGGACCGGAAAAACAGAACACCGGAAUUUCCGGUAGCGCCGUAAGAAGGAAAAUCAGGGAAUUCGAUGCACCUGUGCCUAGUUAGGGACAGCGGUUGGUGAUUGGAGGAUACGCUGGACAAGGCAGUACUUAAGGCCAAGUUAUUUCACAGUCUGGGCGCUCUUUCUGGCUGGAAUUGUAUGAUUGUGAAGACAUCGCGAACCUUAAAGGUUGAGAAGUGAACGGAUUAUACGGCGAACUGAGAUGACGUGAAAAAGGGGAUUGGAAGCGGCAUUGAUGUGAGUACUAAGAGCCAGUCGAAAGUGCCCUGUAUAUUGACCUGGCGUUGUGUAGAUCUCUCCAGGAGGAGGAGGGCGGCCCUACCCCUAAUAUAGUGUGGUGGGAGAGCCGAAGGAAUACUUAUUGAAGUAGUCACAACGACGACAUCACUAGCUAGGCCGCAUAUUCCAUCGCCAGAUCCGAACCAAGCGAAGUGAAGGAAGACGGGUGUCCUUUUCGUACACUGAGUGUGGUGGGUGAGUCUUCAUGCUGUGAAAACCUAUAAUUUUGACGUGGUGCUGUAUAUUGCUGUGGGCUGCUGUGUAUUGCCGUGUGUCCUGUCAGAUAAACCCCCGCCUUCACGCACUUCGUCGCGGGAGGACAAGGAGACUGCUGGUCCUAGCCUAGUUCAGUACAGCAUAUGUUGUGAGCGUGCUUCAGAUCUCCGGAGAUAGCACAGUACGCUGUGUCCAGCCCAGAGGUGAAAGCCAUCCAAAGCAGAGUAACUGUGCUUUGCGUCCAAGUUGAUACCUGUGGAGAGGAAAGGAAAGAGAGAGUGAGUAACACAAGGAGAAACAGAGGAACCCUGUACUUACAGUACGCUGUGUCCAGCCCAGAGGUGAGAGCCAUUCAAAGCAAACUAACUGUGCUAGUGUGCCCAAGUUGAUGCCUGUGGAGAGAAAAAGGAGAGAGAGUGAAUAACACGAGGAGGAAUAGAGCGAACCCUGUACUUACAGUACGCUGUGUCCAGCCCAGAGGUGAGAGCCAUUCAAAGCAAACUAACUGUGCUAUUGUGCCCAAGUUGAUACCUGUGGAGAGAAAAAGGAGAGA
ensembl:lncRNA